GGUAUGGGAUGAAAGCGGUGAAGGGAAACCGAGUUAACCCCUAAGCC
rnacentral:misc_RNA from 1 species